AUAGUCGUGGCCGAGUGGUUAAUACAAUGGACUAGAAAUUCAUUGGGGUCUCCCCACGCAGGUUCGAAUCCUGCCGACUACG
rnacentral:tRNA from 2 species